GAUGAACGCUGGCGGCGUGCCUAACACAUGCAAGUCGAGCGUGAACCCUUAGAAUGAAACUUCGGUCGAAUGACGAGGGGGAAAGCGGCGGACGGGUGAGUAACGCGUAGGCAACCUGCCCCGUACAGAGGGAUAGCCUCGGGAAACCGGGAUUAAAACCUCAUAAUACCAUGGUAUCACAUGAUGCAAUGGUCAAAGAUUUAUCGGUAUGGGAUGGGCCUGCGUCUGAUUAGCUGGUUGGUGGGGUAACGGCCUACCAAGGCAACGAUCAGUAGCCGACCUGAGAGGGUAAUCGGCCACAUUGGAACUGAGACACGGUCCAAACUCCUACGGGAGGCAGCAGUGGGGAAUAUUGCACAAUGGGCGAAAGCCUGAUGCAGCAACGCCGCGUGAGCGAAGAAGGCCUUUGGGUCGUAAAGCUCUGUCGGGAAGGAAGAUAAUGACGGUACUUCCCGAGGAAGCCCCGGCUAACUACGUG
rnacentral:rRNA from 1 species